rnacentral:lncRNA from 1 species
UGUGAAUGAAGCCUAGGAGAGGCUGAUGAGGAUUACCGUAUUUUUCGGACUAUAAGGCGCACCGUAUUAUAAGACGCACUAUCAAAGAACGCCUAUUUUCUGGUAUUUUUCCAUACAUAGGGCGCAUCGCAUUAUAAGGCGCGUUAAGUGACACUAGAAAGGGUGCCUAUAUCAAAGUGAACAGGGGUGGCGCCAUGUUUCCCUUCCCCCGGGGGGGGGGGGGUGUCUUGCCGGUGGAGCGUCUCAGUAUACAAAUCUAGCUCUUUCAAAGUCAAACGAGUGCUGGAUAUUAAUCUACACAGAUUCCUCUCCUGAAAACUGUUUAUUUGGACGGUGCAGCAGAUGAAUGGAAAUGGAACAGAUAUUCAAAUGAGACGAGCAUGAAUAAGAGGGUACUCAGGCCAUCUUCAACAAAAAAACAAGGCCUUCAGAAAACGAGGCCUUCAGAGAAGGUCAAACAACAUAUGCGGGCGUUCCCCUUGAAUCUCCAUUGAACAGCUGGUUUUGGACUAACUGCUGGUGCCCUGAACCCUCGUCUGAUACUGACCACGCCAACCCUGCCAGUUUCAAGCAUUCUUCCAAACAUAGGGAGCGAACAGGUUCCAGCGCACAACAGCAGCAGAUACUUUUCCCAGUUAAAUUUCAUAAAAAAACGUUAUGUUUAGUGUUAUAUUUAUUCUUUAAGCAGGUAUU